rnacentral:siRNA from 1 species
UCGGCCUCUUUUGGGUCCUUCG